UACGUAGGGUGCGAGCGUUGUCCGGAAUUAUUGGGCGUAAAGAGCUCGUAGGCGGUCUGUCGCGUCUGCUGUGAAAACCUAGGGCUUAACUCUGGGCGUGCGGUCGAUACGGGCAUCACUUGAGUUCGGCAGGGGAGACUGGAAUUCCUGGUGUAGCGGUGAAAUGCGCAGAUAUCAGGAGGAACACCGGUGGCGAAGGCGGGUCUCUGGGCCGAUACUGACGCUGAGGAGCGAAAGCAUGGGUAGCGAACGGG
rnacentral:rRNA from 1 species